rnacentral:rRNA from 1 species
UACGGGGGGGGCAAGCGUUGUUCGGAAUUACUGGGCGUAAAGGGCUCGUAGGCGGCCAACUAAGUCAGACGUGAAAUCCCUAGGUUCAACCUAGGAACUGCGUCCGAUACUGGAUGGCUUGAAUUCGGGAGAGGGAUGCAGAAUUCCAGGUGUAGCGGUGAAAUGCGUAGAUAUCUGGAGGAAUACCGGUGGCGAAGGCGGCAUCCUGGACCGACAUUGACGCUGAACGGCGAAAGCUAGGGGAGCAAACGGG